UUUGGUGCAGUGGUAGCAUGUCGGUUUCAAGAGCUGAAGGUCCUGAGUUCUGUCCUCAGAA
rnacentral:tRNA from 1 species